rnacentral:miRNA from 1 species
UGACAAGCUGACAAUCGGGC